AUUGAACGCUGGCGGCAUGCCUUACACAUGCAAGUCGAACGGCAGCACGGGUGCUUGCACCUGGUGGCGAGUGGCGAACGGGUGAGUAAUAUAUCGGAACGUACCUUAUUGUGGGGGAUAACGCAGCGAAAGCUGUGCUAAUACCGCAUAAUCCCUAAGGGGGAAAGCGGGGGACCGUAAGGCCUCGCGCAAUUAGAGCGGCCGAUACCUGAUUAGCUAGUUGGUGAGGUAAAGGCUCACCAAGGCAACGAUCAGUAGCUGGUCUGAGAGGACGAUCAGCCACACUGGGACUAAGACACGGCCCAGACUCCUACGGGAGGCAGCAGUGGGGAAUUUUGGACAAUGGGGGCAACCCUGAUCCAGCAAUGCCGCGUGAGUGAAGAAGGCCUUCGGGUUGUAAAGCUCUUUUGUCAGGGAAGAAACAGCAGCUCUAACACAGUUUGCGAAUGACGGUACCUGAAGAAUAAGCACCGGCUAACUACGUGCCAGCAGCCGCGGUAA
rnacentral:rRNA from 1 species